rnacentral:rRNA from 1 species
GAAAAUCAUUUGGCAUCCGUUUUCCACCUCACGAUUGACCUCGGAUCAGGUAGGGAUACCCGCUGAACUUAAGCAUAUCAAUAAGCGGAGGAAAAGAAACCAACCGGGAUUGCCUCAGUAACGGCGAGGGG